AAGAGGCCCCAAAAGAGAACAUGAAAGGAAAUGUGCAUCUGUGCUUAUCCAUUCAAAAAUUCAGAGAAUUACUAGCUCAAUGGUAAGCAUCAAAAUUGCAAUAGGUAAUGCAACAAGGAUACAAUUGCCCAUUGGCCACAUAAAAAAGGAUCCAUCCAUUAUUACAACUUUAUUGAAGUCCCAAAAUACUGGAACAAUCAACAAACAAACUAUUGAAGAUUGAUAACAGGCACUACUAGUCCUAGACCAAUAAUGAAUAAUACAAACCUG
rnacentral:misc_RNA from 1 species